rnacentral:rRNA from 1 species
CACGUAGGGGGCAAGCGUUGUCCGGAUUUAUUGGGCGUAAAGAGCUCGUAGGUGGUUCGGUAAGUCGGGUGUGAAACCUCCAGGCUCAACCUGGAGACGCCACCCGAUACUGCUGUGACUGGAGUCCGGUAGGGGAGCGUGGAAUUCCUGGUGUAGCGGUGAAAUGCGCAGAUAUCAGGAGGAACACCGGUGGCGAAGGCGGUUCUCUGGGCCUGUACUGACGCUGAGGAGCGAAAGCGUGGGGAGCGAACAGG